rnacentral:rRNA from 1 species
GAUGAACGCUGGCGGCGUGCCUAAUACAUGCAAGUCGAGCGGCAGCGCGAGUAGUUUACUACUUGGCGGCGAGCGGCGGACGGCUGAGUAACGCGUGGGAAUCUGCCCCAAAGUGAGGGAUAAGCACCAGAAAUGGUGUCUAAUACCGCAUAUGAUCUUCGGAUUAAAGCUUUCGAGCGCUUUGGGAGGAGCCCGCGUCGGAUUAGAUUGUUGGUGAGGUAAUGGCUCACCAAGUCGACGAUCCGUAGCUGGUCUGAGAGGAUGAUCAGCCAGACUGGAACUGAGACACGGUCCAGACUCCUACGGGAGGCAGCAGUGGGGAAUCUUAGACAAUGGGGGCAACCCUGAUCUAGCCAUGCCGCGUGAGUGAUGAAGGCCUUAGGGUUGUAAAGCUCUUUCAGCUGGGAAGAUAAUGACGGUACCAGCAGAAGAAGCCCCGGCUAACUCCGUGCCAGCAGCCGCAGUAACAC